rnacentral:rRNA from 1 species
GGAGCAGGUCCCAAGGGUAUGGCUGUUCGCCAUUUAAAGCGGUACGCGAGCUGGGUUCAGAACGUCGCGAGACAGUUCGGUCCCUAUCUGCCGUGGGCGUAGGAAAGUUGAGGAGAGCUGUCCCUAGUACGAGAGGACCGGGAUGGACGUGUCACUGGUGCACCAGUUGUUCUGCCAAGAGCACCGCUGGGUAGCUACACACGGAUGUGAUAACUGCUGAAAGCAUCUAAGCAGGAAGCCAACUCCAAGAUAAACUUUCCCUGAAGCUCGCACAAAGACUAUGUGCUUGAUAGGGUAGAUGUGUAAGCGCAGUAAUGCGUUUAGCUGACUACUACUAAUAGAGCGUAUGGCUUGUUUUU